GGGUGUUAAACGUCGGGAUUUAAUCUCGGUGUUGUAGUUAACACAUUAAACACCCUGCCUGGGUAGUACAUUCGCAAGAAUGAAACUCAAACGGAAUUGACGGGGACCCGCACAAGUGGUGGAGCAUGUUGUUUAAUUCGACGAUACACGUAGAACCUUACCUAGACUUGACAUCCUUGGCGAAGUUAUAGAAAUAUAAUGGAGGUUAACCGAGAGACAGGUGGUGCAUGGUUGUCGUCAGCUCGUGUCGUGAGAUGUUGGGUUAAGUCCCGCAACGAGCGCAACCCUUAUCGUUAGUUAUUUUGUCUAACGAGACUGCCAACGCAAGUUGGAGGAAGGUGGGGAUGACGUCAAAUCAUCAUGCCCCUUAUGUCUAGGGCCACAAACGUGCUACAAUGGUCGGUACAAACAGUCGCUAAUUCGUAAGAUAGAGCUAAUCUGUAAAGCCGAUCUCAGUUCGGAUAGAGGGCUGAAAUUCGCCCUCUUGAAGU
rnacentral:rRNA from 1 species